AUCAUAUGAAAAUGUCGCUGGUCUAGAUCCCAUGAGCGUAGGUUGUUACACAAAGAGUAAACCUGGUCCCUGAAUCUCUCUUGCUCCCUAAGUGGCCAUGUGAUCUCUCUAUUUCAUGCAUAUCCAUACAUAAUGCUGCCCUCCACAAUGUGACAGAGGCAGAAUGCCCUCACCAGAGCUGAGCAGAUGUUAGCACUAUUCCAAAAUUAAUUGUAAGCUAAAUAGACCUCUUUUUUUUUUUAGAAAUAAAAUAGCCUCAGGGAUUUUGUUAUAACACAAAAUGAACUAAGGCAUCUAUCUACUUGGGUGAUAUGGCUGAGCAGAGAACCGCAGAGAUGCACAAUACCAUAAAAUGUUAUUUUCCAAUUACAGGGCACAACAUAUGUGCAUAUCCUCUAUAACAUACAUAGCAUGAAAUGUUAAAGAACUAGGAAGUUGCAGGGUUUGAGUACCUGUUAUCUUUGACUUUAAUAGAACAUGGCACUUGUAACUUGAUUUUUAAUCUGGCUUUGUUUAACCAGCUUACAAAAUCCUCUUAAGUUCAGCACUCAAAUGCCAGGCCACAAGGAGGCUUCUUGGACCUAGCUCAGGUAGUGAGGGGCAGGAGGAAGGUAGAGAAAAAGAGGCCUGUGUGGAAAAUACAGAGACUAGGCCCUUGCUCCAGGAUGCCAACCUGUGGUAAAGCCAGAAGGAACAGAGAGGAAGCUUAGCCUGAUCUUGUAAGGGAGACCCUGAGAGAAGCAG
rnacentral:lncRNA from 1 species